UUUAAUUUCCUAUAAUCUAUUCGCCAGUGAGGUUUUCCGAAAGAAUCUGACUUCUUUGGAACUAUCCAUACGAGAGAAUUAUACGGCGAUGCUGAGGGUUGAAUAAUAUUGUCGCUGAGCAAGGUAUCUACCUGUUUCUGUAUUUCGGGUUUAUGAAUCAAUGGAAAACGAUACUGUUUGGUAUUAAUGGGUAUUUCAUCAGUAGUUACUAUAGAGUGCUGACUGGUGUUAGAACAACCUAAUCUAUCUGCGGAAAGGUGAAAUUGGGACUGAAAUUAGGACCUUACUGCGUGGAGGAAGAUCGAAUGAUGUAAAUGCUGAAGAAGACUGUACCUUUUUUCCAAUUUCAAGACUAUUCGGAAGCUUGUCUCUGAAUACCACUGUAGCAUCCUGUUUCUGGAGAAAAGAAACCCCAACCAUUCCAGUUUGCUUUAUUUAAAAAUCAUUAUCAACGACUUGGAAGUUAAUGGGGAUUUGAUUAAUAGAGAUAAUAACCUCACCACAAGUCUGAAUCAUUCCCGGACAGAUUCCAUGAUCCAGUGUCUACAAGGAAAUUGGCAUAACCAUCGCAGAAAAAUCCAUGUUCCAGUCAAAUUACUAAUGAACUAGGCUCUGAGAAACUUGAACAGUGGGCGAUACAAUGGUAUCUACGCGCGCAAUUAAGGGUUUGCCCUGCGAUGCGCUUGUUCGAGGGCCCCUGUUGAAGUUUAAAUCCUGUGAAGACUCUGCGGGGGAAAAUCCGGAUGUCCUGAAUUUAGAAGGCGAGUUUUUACUAAAACACCGUUCCUCCGUAUGCCCGCUUUUCCUACAAAAUCCACAUUUAAGCGUUCUAUGAACAUUUAGCUCUGAAUACGGUUUCUUUUGACUCUUGCAAUGAUUACGCAUGUGUCCCAAUCGAUUGCAAUCGAAACACCUGCGAGCCAAAGUAUCUACUACACACACCUUUGAAUUAUUAGCAAAUGAGCUUGAAUUUACGGCAACUUUUGAAACUCGAAUUCUCUCGCCAAUUUUGAUGCAGAAUUUAUCAUGGACUCCAAACUAUCUCCCUGCUCUCUAAUCAUUAGCAUUCUGAUAUUAACAUUAAACAAACCCCUCUUGAAUCCCGAAAUCGCAGAUCUCUUAAGGAGAACCCUGACCCCCUCAGAUUGCUGAAAAUCAAAGUUUCCCAUUACCGCCGUGAGUCCCCUAUCCAAAAUUUCGUUAACCCGUGCUCCAUAACCCUCGACACUCUCCCCAUUACCUUGAUAAGCAUUUUUAACUCAUCGUAAAUUCGAUCUAUAUCAAAAGACUGCACAAAAAUUGAUUUAAUUAUAUUUAUUAGUUCCUCUAAAGUGUUCAACUCGUAGCUGCCUGCAAUCAACUGGUCCACAUGCCCACAUAUUUUGUUCCGUAUUAGAGCUAGUAAAUUUAUCCUAUCCCCAGCCCUAACUCUGGAAUUCGCGAGGUUACAUUGUCUGAUAAAUUUUGUUAAAGAACUAGCAUUACCAUCAAAAGUAUACGGAUAUACAUAGGGUCUAGAUCAGCGGCCAUUUUUAACGGCAUAAACGCAAUUUCCGAAACACUCGAAGGUAUUUCAAUAUUUUCAGUAGUAGACGUGUUUGAAGAUGAAUAUUCACUAUUUGUACCUGAAGAAAUAUUCUCACGCAAAGCAACUUGUAACGGCACUUCACCCGUUUCAUUGCACUGUUCUACAAUAGAAAUCUGAUUAUUCGCGGAAAACUGUACUCCCAAAUCCUCAGUCUCAAAAGAACCACUACCACUCAAGGCUCCUCCCUUUUGCCUUUUUUUGAACUUUCUAAAUCCCGUAAUGUACGGAGGCAUGUUUUUUUUUUUACAACAAAAUCUGAAAAAUAUUAUAUAUUUAUAUGUAUAAGCUUUGCGAGCGGUAAAGAGCGAAUGUAUAUAUAUGUACGCAGCAAUCAAUAAUUCACCGAUCCUUCUCCUGAAUCCUCGUCCUGCGAUCCUUCUCCUGUAUCCUCGUCCAGUUAUCCUUUUCCUGAGUCCUCGUCCUGCGAUGAUCGUCCCUCGAUCUGGUUCAGCAGGAAGACCCGUGGGCAAGGUGCAUGUGAUCAACGAUUAUUAACGACGACUUGCACGGUCGUCGAAAUCAUCUUUUCCGGCAUUCGCCCUUGCUCCUGGGGAAACCGUGCGGAAAACCCAAGAGGGAUAAGAUGCACUGAUUCUAAUGCCCCGAGUUAAUAAAAUUAUUUAAUGUUGGAAAGAUCCCACCGCUGUCACCAAUUUUGUUGCGAGUCCGUGCGGUUUUAUUUUUAAGGACUUAGGGUUUUUCUGGCGUUCACGCCGCACGUGACAAGAUUAUUAGAACUGCAUGCGACUUAGCCAGGAAUAAGUUAAUUUAAGAUAAAUUAAGAAAUGUAAUAUGAACUUUAUUAUAACUGUUUAAAUAUAACUAA